rnacentral:rRNA from 1 species
UACGGAGGGUGCAAGCGUUAUCCGGAUUUAUUGGGUUUAAAGGGUCCGUAGGCGGACUCGUAAGUCAGUGGUGAAAUCUCAUAGCUUAACUAUGAAACUGCCAUUGAUACUGCGGGUCUUGAGUAAAGUAGAAGUGGCUGGAAUAAGUAGUGUAGCGGUGAAAUGCAUAGAUAUUACUUAGAACACCAAUUGCGAAGGCAGGUCACUAUGUUUUAACUGACGCUGAUGGACGAAAGCGUGGGGAGCGAACAGGAUUAGAUACCCUGGUAGUCCACGCCGUAAACGAUGCUAACUCGUUUUUGGGGCUUCGGCUUCAGAGACUAAGCGAAAGUGAUAAGUUAGCCACCUGGGGAGUACGUUCGCAAGAAUGAA